AUACAUAUUUUGAAUUUAUGCACCUCGGAAGAGAGGUCAGUGUACUGUGAGUGCAACAAUGUGAGGUCACUCAGGCUAUUGUCACAAUUUGAGGUUACUGCACACUCACUGUGCGCUCAUACUAUGGCCCUGAGGUGAGGUCACAGCACACUCAGUGUCCGCUCAAAUCAUAUUACGACACACUUGCUGUUGCCAUACUAUGGUCAAUGUGAGGUCAUGGCACACUCAUUGUGCACUGAACUCAACAUUUUGAAUUCACAAAGAGCUUGCACAUAACUCACAAGAUGAGAAUGUCACAGUAUGAAAAUGAUGUGAUUUUACUGUGAUUAUCGCGUGAUCUCACAUGUUGACUGGGUACAGUACAGUGUUUAAGUCACUAUGUCUAUAGUGAGGGAUAUCUCGCAUGUGUGUGCCUUUACAAAACUCAACCAUGGUUACUGUAGUUAAACCAUGGUUAGUGUAGUUUUGCUAAUAGUAAUCAAUAUACCAAAAAAAGAGAAUACUACACUUUUACAACAACAAAAAAUGUUAAUUUUCAUGAGGGGGUGUGUGCAUCUGUACAGUAGGGAAAGAAGUGAGAGUUUUACUGUAGUGUUUGUGCAUGGUGCAUGUUCCUCUCACAUAGGCCUAACAUGUUUACAGUUCAGCCUCUGUCCAAAGCCACAUUAAUUUUUAUUCAACUUUCAUUUAUGGACAGUAGACAGCAGUGAUUUGUUCGUUAGCAAUUCUUUCAGUUACUGAUGUAAGCAGAGUGUGUAUGUAUUGGCCAUAUGUCUACUUAGACAUGUCAUUUGUAACUUCAACAUCUCCCACCUCUUGCAUACAAAAAAGACAUUUAGGACUUUUAAAAUAUACCAUGGGUGCAUUGCCUUCUUAACAAUAUAUAUACACACGCACGCACGGUUUUUUGUAGUCACAUAAUACUUUAAAAAUAACUAUUGCGAUGGUUGCACUAUUAUUACGCUAUUGGGUGUCUCGCCUUGUUGUUAUUAGCCCUGAUUGGUUGUUUUGACCGUCAUCCAGAUCUCUGGCCUAUGACAAUUCAGCGCGCACUUUUCAACAUUUCAAACUCCUGCAGCCGGUAGUAUUUGCUGAUGCUGCUGGAGGGAGGAGUUCACUCUGCAGAACUGCAGCAGUACAUCGGUUGGUCCACUACUGACUUUUACUAUAAUUGGUUACCUCUAUCGGGUAUUUUUUUAUUCGGUUGAACUUAAGUUAGAAAACAUAAUAUGGACAAAGACUUUUACCAACGGGUACCGGACAUAUGGAAAACUGCAGCAGGAUCUACUGUGGAUCGCUGGGACUUAAGUCAAAAUGAGACCGAGAAUGUGUUUUAUCUCAAGCUGCUCCAGAGAAGUCUCCUACCACGCCAUACAUAAGAUCAACAUUGAAGCAUUGUUUACAGUAAGAAUAGGCACCAACAGAAAGACAAAUCCAACACUAAUGCACCAAGGAUCAAGGUGAUUUUUGGCAGCUUGGAGAAUUUUUCUUUAUCUGUCACAUCUGGUACAGAAUCUCUGACAUUUUGGUAUUUGUAAUGUUUAUUUUAUUAUAUUUGUAUACUUAUGCUAGAUAUUAAUAUACUUGUAUAGUUACUGUAUGUUUCUGAAUUAAAAGAUAGCCCCAGGUAAAAAUGUAAAACUGAUAUAAUACUGAUAUUGAAAAUACAAGCUAAAAUGGCACAAUUUGUUGCUUUCUCCACCUGUUUCACAAAUGAAAACAUUUUAUAUGCACAGA